AAUUGACGGGGGCCCGCACAAGCGGUGGAGCAUGUGGUUUAAUUCGAUGCAACGCGAAGAACCUUACCUGGUCUUGACAUCCACAGAACUUUCCAGAGAUGGACUGGUGCCUUCGGGAACUGUGAGACAGGUGCUGCAUGGCUGUCGUCAGCUCGUGUUGUGAAAUGUUGGGUUAAGUCCCGCAACGAGCGCAACCCUUAUCCUUUG
rnacentral:rRNA from 1 species